CCCUUAGAUGUUCUGGGCCGCACGCGCGCUACACUGAUGCAUUCAACGAGCCUAGCCUUGACCGAGAGGUCCGGGUAAUCUUUGAAACUGCAUCGUGAUGGGGCUAGAUUAUUGCAAUUAUUAAUCUUCAACGAGGAAUGCCUAGUAAGCGUGAUUCAUCAGAUCGCGUUGAUUACGUCCCUGCCCUUUGUACACACCGCCCGUCGCUCCUACCGAUUGAGUGGUCCGGUGAGGCUUUGGGAUCUGAGCGGAAAGAGCGUUUCGCUGUUUCUGCUCGGAAAACUCAGUCGAACCUUAUCAUUUAGAGGAAGGAGAAGUCGUAACA
rnacentral:rRNA from 1 species